AUCCGGCUGACGAGCCCCAAAUAGGACGAAGUGGCGCGCACCCUGGAU
rnacentral:hammerhead_ribozyme from 1 species